GGCAGGCGCCAAACCGCUGCGCCACCCAGGGAUCCCGAAUAAUCUGUCCAUUGAUAAGCACAGGGGAAUUUUUCUCUGAUCUUCACUCAGAACCUGGAAGAGCUCCUUGAGAUAAAUCUCACAAAAAUGUGGCGACCUCCCUAUGACUGGGUCCCCUUGAGGUAUUUAACUCUCAGACUUGUCCACACUGAGCCUUCAGCAAUUUGUCAAUAACAAUUUAGGUUUUCCUUGCUGACACUGAUUCCCUAGCAGGUUUCCGCUCAUAGAUUUCUGUUGCAAUAAGUUGUGAUUCUUUGUAUUCAUCCAUCUCUCCAGUUUUGGGAGCCAUGGUUUCCCUGUGGCCUUACUUCCCUGAUGGAUCUAAGGAAAGUUAGUGAUAUUUCAGUUUGUUCAGCUUUUUACUUGUUAAGAUGGAGCAGCAACUUCUAAGCUAUUUCUGGUUGUGCCAGAAACCAAAAGUAUCAGGCAAAGUUUUUAAAUGCUUGGGUGGUGGUUAAAAGACUGAAAAGUUAGAGAAAGGCUUUAUUACUUAUUUAUGUUUAUUGUAUUUAUUAUUUAUUUUUUCUUUCUUUUUUUUUUUUUUAGGCUUUAUUUGAGAGAGAGAGCCCACGCAUGAGCGGGGGGGAGGGGCAGAGGGAGAACUAAACUCCCUGCAGAGCAAGGAGCCCAGCGUGGGGCUCCAUCCAUGACCCCUUGACUGAGCCACCCAGGCACCCCUGUUUUAUUAUUUUUCUAUUGUGUAUAGCAUAUUAUGUGAUCUUCAAGUACAAGGAUUUGUAAUCCUAGCACUUUGCAUAUUCUGUGGUAUUUAAUAGGCUGUGGCAGUAAUUGACUUUAACAAUUAUUCAAUAAAUCUAUUUUCCUUUGUUUCCUGUGCA